AUGAUUUAUUAUCGUCAUCGUCAUGAGAGGCCCGGGAAGAGGGGCGGGAGGAGUCGCUCCAGAAGGCCUUGCCCUCGCUGGGCUCUGGCGCCCCCUGCUGGCCGCGGGACAGGCCACGGGGGGCGCGCGCCGGGCAGGCGGGGUGGGAGGGGGGGGCGCGCGCGCGCGCCGGGCAGGCGGGUCCAGUGGGUCAAACCCGAGCCCCCCCGCCCAGGGACCGCUGCUGCUGCUGCUGCUGCUGCUGCUGCUGCUGCUGCUGCUGGGAUCCGCCGCGGCGCCGGAGGAGGUGGAGGAAGAAGAAGAGAGUCUUGUCCCGGGGCCGGACCGCGCCGCUCCCCAACCUCGUCGUCCUCGGUCCUUCCUGCCGGUGCCCGCUGGACGCGGGGAGGCGUGCGCUCCUUCCCUCCCUGCCCAGCCGUGAAGCCGGCCUCCGCUUGGGCGGGACAAGUUUUGGGGGAGCCGGUGGCACCGGGCGGGCGGCCGAGGAGGAGGAGGCGCAGGGGUGCGGAGACGGCGCAUCCGCGAGGGGGCUCGGGGAACCGCCGACUCCACGUCCAGCCCCACGUGCACCGGGUUCCCGGAGGAUCUGAGCGAAGGGAAACGGCUGUCAAGAUGGCAGCAGUAGGAGCAGCGUCGGAGGCGGCGGCGGCCAGGAGGUUAUGAACGUGUCGAUCCUGGAUCCCCUCGCGACCUCGGGGAGAGUUUGGAGGUGCCCGGCCUGUGGGAGCCGGGGCUUGGAGCUCCCUUCCCGGGGGACCAGCGGGGACGGCACGAAAACCUCCCGACACAAGCUCAGGGUGGAUUCCUUAGCGCCGCUCGGCGCGCUGCGAAACGCCGUCUCCGUCGUCGCCGCCACCACCACCACCUUCUCCUCCUCCAUUCCCUCCUCCUCCUCCUCCUCCUUCUCCGCUCCCUCCCUCUCGUCGCCCUUCGCCCCGGCAGCGACGAGGGCUGGAAUGAAAUCGGAUGCACGUUAACCCUCCCUCGGCUCCGGCGCGGAAAAGGGCGGGGGGGGGGGAGAUAAAAAGUCCUCCAGCCAAUUCCGGAGCCCGACGUCGACCUGCAGAAGCGCCGAGGGUCGGGUGACUGGCGACCCGACGGAUCCGGCGUGAUCUCUGCCGGUGGGGGGGCGGGGGCCCGGGCCCGGGGGGAGGAGGAAGAGCGGAGGACGCCCCCGACUUUUCCUCCUGCCACCGGAGCGCUUUGGCGGCCGCGCGGAGCGAAAGAUAAACAAACGCGCACGCAGGCAGAAGCCCAGAGACACACGGGCAGGCAGACCCACAGGACGGGCGAGCGGGCGAACGGGCGAGGAGCUGCACCCCUCCCGACUUUAAAGGGCCAUCCCACCCCCGCCGCCGCCUCCUCCUCCUCCUCCUCCUCCUCCUCCGCUCGCCUUCCCCCUCCCCCCUCCCCCCGCCCCGGGGCCGUGCUCCGCCCCGCCCGGCCCCGCCCCCGCUGUGCCCCCUCCCACCUUGGCCCGGCGAGGCCCCGGAGAGCCUGCACAUCUGGCCCAGCUGGGGGAGGGGCUGCCCCCUCCGGACCUCAUCCUGCCCCUCGCCGCCGCCCCCGCCGCUGAGGAAUCGGGACGCUCGGACUGGGCCGAGGAUGCCCGCGCCCCGGGCUUGCUAAGGGGCUAGUCGGAGCCAAGCGGAGGAGGACCGGACGGGACGGGAGAGGAGAGCGGCGGCGGCGGCGUCCGGGACCUGUCGAUCCGGUGGGGGCCGAGCGUCCCUCCGUCCCCCUCCGCGUCCCGUCCCCCACCGCCGCAGC
rnacentral:lncRNA from 1 species